GGCCAUGAGUUAUCUGGCUGUGGCACCUGUCGCCUCACUGAUCACAGGGUUGAUAUGGUUGGUAGGCAGGGGUCCAACCCUUCCCUCAUUGAUCCAUGUUCACCUUUUCUGAAGCUGUGUGCUUGACAGCCCAGGUCUGCUCUUCCAUCACAGGAGAAGGAUUAGCUGUGCU
rnacentral:snRNA from 1 species